rnacentral:piRNA from 1 species
UGUGCAGUCACAGAUCAAUGACAUGGAGACA